GCAUCGACAAAAGUCGGUGUCGGGUUUGACAGCCCGAACCAUACAGCGGACGGCCGCUAUUUCUCCUUGCGGCUUUUUU
rnacentral:sRNA from 1 species